UCCAGACUCCUACGGGAGGCAGCAGUGAGGAAUAUUGGUCAAUGGCCGGAAGGCUGAACCAGCCAAGCCGCGUGAGGGAGGAAGGCGCAGAGCGUCGCAGACCUCUUUUGCCGGGGGACAAAAGGCCGGACUCGUCCGGUCCUGAGGGUACCCGGAGAAAAAGCAUCGGCUAACUCCGUGCCAGCAGCCGCGGUAAUACGGAGGAUGCGAGCGUUAUCCGGAUUCAUUGGGUUUAAAGGGUGCGCAGGCGGGCUUUUAGGCGGGGGGGAAAACGGGGGGGCCCACCCCCGCCGAGCCGUCGGAACUGGGGGCCUUGAGUGCGGCGGAGGCAUGCGGAAUGCGCGGUGUAGCGGUGAAAUGCAUAGAUAUCGCGCAGAACUCCGAUUGCGAAGGCAGCAUACCGGCGCGCAACUGACGCUCAUGCACGAAAGCGUGGGUAUCGAACAGGAUUAGAUACCCUGGUAG
rnacentral:rRNA from 1 species